rnacentral:rRNA from 1 species
UUUGAAAUCCGGCCCCCUCGGGGCCCGAGUUGUAAUCUGCAGAUGGGUCUUCCGGUUAGGCGCACGCCCGAGUUCCCUGGAAUGGGACGCCGCAGAGGGUGAGAGCCCCGUACUGGCGGCGCGCCGAGCCACCACGAUGCCCAUUCGACGAGUCGAGUAGUUUGGGAAAUGCUGCUCCAAUCGCGGGGUAAAUCUCCCGUAAGGCUAAAUACCGGCCGGAGACCGAUAGCGAACAAGUAGCGUGAGCGAAAGAUGAAAAGAGCCUUGGAUAAGGGCGUCAAAAAGCAUGUGAAAUUGCUAUGGGGGAAGCGCUCGUCGCCAGACUCGGCGGCGGCCGGUUACCCGGCGUUCUCGCCGGCGCACUCGGACCGCCGCCGGGCCAGUACCGGCUGGCCGCCCGGCUCACUGCCGCGGGGAACGUGACUCCCUCCGGGGAGUGUUAUAGCCCCGCGGCGACGCCGGCCGGCCGGCCGAGGACCGCGCGCAAGCGAGGGUACUGGCAUAAUGGCGCCCAGCGACCCGUCUUGAAACACGGACCAAGGAGUUGACCUGCCCUGCGAGUGUACGGGUGCAAAGCCCCUGCGCGCAGUGAAAGCGAACGCUGGUGGGAGCCCUCGGGCGCACCAUCGACCGAUCCUGAAGUUCGCGGAUGGAUUUGAGUAGGAGCGGGGCGGGUCUGACCCGAAAGAAGGUGAACUAUGCAUGAAUAGGGUGAAGCCAGAGGAAACUCUGGUGGAGGCUCGCAGCGGUUCUGACGUGCAAAUCGAUCGUCAAAUUUGUGGCAUGGGGGCGAAAGACCAAUCGACCUUCUAGUAGCUGGU